rnacentral:rRNA from 1 species
UAACCCCGGGAAACUGGGGAUAAUUCCGGAUAACGCACAUAUGCUGGAAUGCUUUAUGCGUCAAAUGGAUUCGUCCGCCCAAGGAUGGGUCUGCGGCCUAUCAGGUAGUAGUGGGUGUAAUGUACCUACUAGCCUACGACGGGUACGGGUUGUGAGAGCAAGAGCCCGGAGAUGUAUUCUGAGACAUGAAUCCAGGCCCUACGGGGCGCAGCAGGCGCGAAAACUUUACAAUGCGGGAAACCGUGAUAAGGGGACACCGAGUGCCAGCAUCAUAUGCUGGCUGUCCGGGUGUGUAAAAUACACCUGUUAGCAAGGGCCGGGCAAGACCGGUGCCAGCCGCCGCGGUAACACCGGCGGCCCGAGUGGUGAUCGUGAUUAUUGGGUCUAAAGGGUCCGUAGCCGGUUUGGUCAGUCCUCCGGGAAAUCUGACGGCUUAACCGUUAGGCUUUCGGGGGAUACUGCCAGACUUGGAACCGGGAGAGGUAAGAGGUACUACAGGGGUAGGAGUGAAAUCUUGUAAUCCCUGUGGGACCACCUGUGGCGAAGGCGUCUUACCAGAACGGGUUCGACGGUGAGGGACGAAAGCUGGGGGCACGAACCGGAUUAGAUACCCGGGUAGUCCCAGCCGUAAACGAUGCUCGCUAGGUGUCAGGCAUGGCGCGACCGUGUCUGGUGCCGC